UACGGAGGGGCCUAGCGUUGUUCGGAAUUACUGGGCGUAAAGCGCGCGUAGGCGGCUUUGUAAGUCAGAGGUGAAAGCCCGGAGCUCAACUCCGGAAUUGCCUUUAAGACUGCAUCGCUAGAAUCAUGGAGAGGUUAGUGGAAUUCCGAGUGUAGAGGUGAAAUGCGCAGAUAUCAGGAAGAACACCCGUGGCGAAAGCGGCUCUCUGGAACGGUACUGACGCUGAGACGCGAAAGCGUGGGGAGCGAACAGG
rnacentral:rRNA from 1 species